CCUACGGGAGGCAGCAGUGGGGGAUAUUGCACAAUGGGGGGAACCCUGAUGCAGCGACGCCGCGUGGGUGAAGAAGCGCCUCGGCGCGUAAAGCCCUGUCAGCAGGGAAGAAAAUGACGGUACCUGAAGAAGAAGCCCCGGCUAACUACGUGCCAGCAGCCGCGGUAAUACGUAGGGGGCAAGCGUUAUCCGGAUUUACUGGGUGUAAAGGGGGCGCAGACGGCGAUGCAAGCCAGGAGUGAAAGCCCGGGGACCAACCCCGGGACUGCCCUUGGAACUGCGUGGCUGGAGUGCAGGAGGGGCAGGAGGAAUUCCUGGUGUAGCGGUGAAAUGCGUAGAUAUCAGGAGGAACACCGGUGGCGAAGGCGGCCUGCUGGACUGCAACUGACGUUGAGGCCCGAAAGCGUGGGGAGCAAACAGGAUUAGAUACCCCAGUAGUC
rnacentral:rRNA from 1 species